UACGGGGGGUGCGAGCGUUGUCCGGAAUCACUGGGCGUAAAGGGCGCGUAGGUGGUUUGAUAAGGGUGUGGUGAAAGUCCGGGGCUCAACCCCGGAUCUGCCGUGCCGACUGUCAAACUCGAGGACUGUAGAGGCAGACGGAAUUCCGGGUGUAGCGGUGGAAUGCGUAGAGAUCCGGAGGAAGACCGGUGGCGAAGGCGGUCUGCUGGGCAGUUUCUGACACUGAGGCGCGACAGCGUGGGAGCAAACAGGG
rnacentral:rRNA from 1 species